rnacentral:tRNA from 1 species
GGGGAUGUAGCUUAAUGGUAGAGCUAUCAUAUGCCAAGGCUCUGGGUUCAAUUCCCAGCACCA